rnacentral:lncRNA from 1 species
AUUCACUCAAGAUUCUUCUCUGUACUACUCUUACCUAAGAUGAAUCACAAAAGAACAUGUUGAUUGGGCGGAGGAGGAAGGUGGAUGGUUUUAUAAAUGAAGAUGGACUAUAAUAUUAUAAUGUUGUGCUUUUAUUAUGUAUCACAAAAGAAAAAAUUAUCACUAAAGAAGGAGUAGGAAGAAGAAUCUGUGGUCCCUUCAAUUAAUGUAAUGGGGAUCUCAAUUAGCUACAAGAGAGAGUCAGUCGUGCCUGGGCUUGUCUGUUGAAUUGGUGGGAGCAGCUGCCAGAAGCCUGUUUGCAUAUGGAUUGAGGGUCCUCUUGGGAGUGUUCUCAUUCUGAAGGAAGAAGUUGCCUGGCAACAAGAGUUUGACCCAUGGAGACAGCUUUACCCAACAGAGGAGCAAGAAAGCCUGAGUACAGUGUGGUGUCUGUCAUCUAGAUCUGUCUCCCGGCUGGAUGACAUGAAUAUAUGCCUAAGUGCCACAGAGAGUGGGGAGGCUAAAUGGACCAAGUAGAGAAAAAUAAACCUGCUUUACUAAUAUCCAUUUAAAACGGAGUACAAUGCAAUGCUUCAAGAUCCAUCUGAUAGACUAAAAUCCAAAUGGAAGGGAAGUGUUUUCCCCUUUCUUACUAAAAAUCAGUUUGGGUAUGGAGAUGUCACCAAAGCAUUCAUUAUAGUGUGUAUCAGAGCAGCGACAGUACCCGGAGAAGACUUUGAUGCCCAGUGAAGCAUUAAAAAUCAAUACCCAUAGGAUGUGGUAGUAUCCGGUGAUACUAAUUGGGAUAUGUCUGCACCUGUUUUAGAAUGGAAAGGCCUUACUCCUUUCUCUGACGCCAAGCUAAUGUAACUAUCUCUGAUGACAGCAAGUGAAGACUAAACCAUGACCAUUAGCGUGAUUUACUUCACACACACCUGGUCCCCAAAACUACUACCUGUCCUCUCUAGUGACUGAGAGAGUAGGUCUCUAGUAUUGUGAAUAAUUUAUCCUUAAUGCAAUGUUAUUUAUCUCAGCUUGUAACACCCUGCAUUGUGCAUGUUAGACUCAAUAAAUACUUAUUUCAACUUAACCAAUUUUUCAUAUAUUUUGAACCAUAUUUAGGACUCUAUCCUAACAAAAUAUUUCUAAAUAUCACAAAAACCAAAAUUAUGCCAAAGGAUGUUCCCCAUAGCAUUAUGUGUGGUAUAAAAAUUAUUGGAAAUAAUCUAAAUAUGCUAAUAUAGGAAAUUAUUAAAAUAAGUACAGGUCCAUUCAGAUGAUGAAAUACUAUACAGCCAUGCAAUUUUUUGCA